AUGACUUUCCAUGACUUCAUUUU
rnacentral:snRNA from 1 species